UCUAUUUAUAUACUCCAGCGUUAAUUUCCAGACCCUUCUCCAAAUCAGAGUAGUGAUCAUCUGGAGAGUCCACUUCCGAGCUCACAUUUGAGGAUGGAGCAAAGUUACCAACGUCUGGACUUGAUGUAUUGUACGGGGCGCCAAAAGCUAGAUAGUUAUCCAUAUAACUGAGAGGAUGAUUCAGUGAUUCCUCAAAGCUAGACAAAUUGAUCUGAUCUUCGAACUCGAAAGGGUUUACAAGAUGAGGCAACGGAUUGAACCGGGGAUCCAUAAAAGUUGCGUACAGAACAAUCA
rnacentral:lncRNA from 1 species